rnacentral:lncRNA from 1 species
GAACUGCGGCCCAGUGUAGCCAGUACCGAAGAUUUCUCAGAAAAAGCCGGAGAUCUCAAUGCUGGCUUCUUCCCUCAGCCUCGUCCGACCCCAGCCUGGGUUCAAUGAACAUUCGGUAAAGGAACACGGAAUGUCAAGCGCAUUAGAGACAACCUUGAGACACAUUCCUCUUGCGGAUCGAGGCCAUCAAGCUACAGAUGAUCUUACAAAUGUAACCCCAAAUGAGCUCAACUAACAACUUCUGCUGAGGACCCCUGGACCGACCCGCUGGCCCUUUCAAUGGCCUAAAGAGCUCCCCUCUGGAGGACACUACCACUGCAGGGCCCCUUCUUCACCCCUAUCCAGCAGGAAGUAGCUACAGCGGUCAUCGCCAAAUCCCAACAGCAGCUGGGGUGUCCUGUUUGGAGGGGGGAUUGAGAGGUGAAGCCAGCUGGGCUUCUGGGUCAGGUGGGGACUUGGAGAACUUUUGUGUCUAGCUAAAGGAUUGUAAAUGCACCAAUCAGCACUCUGUGUCUAGCUAAAGGAUUGUAAAUGCACCAAUCAGCACUCUGUAAAAUGGACCAAUCAGCAGGAUGUGGGCGGGGUCAAAUAAGGGAGUAAAAACUGGCCACCCGAGCCAGCAGUGGCAACCCACUCGGGUCCCCUUCCACACUGUGGAAGCUUUGUUCUUU